UCUCUCAGUAGACACCUCCUUACACCCCACAAUUAAAUGGUAUUAUGGAAAUAUAGAAUUGCACCUUAUUAGAUAUGGUACGUGAAGGGAAGGAAACAUUUUCCCUCUAGAAUGCCCAAGUUGCAUCUAAAAUUUUUUUCUAAUGUUCUACUUAUUUAAGGAUUAAAUCCUUACCUGAAUUAUAGAGGAACUAGAGAUCAAAUCCCAAAUUAUCUGAUAUAAAUCUUCGCGGAGGCCUGGAUAUGCAGAC
rnacentral:lncRNA from 1 species